GUCGUUGUAGUACAGUGGUGAGUAUUCCUGCCUGUUACGCGGGUGACCCAGUUUCGAUCACGGCAACGGCG
rnacentral:tRNA from 1 species